rnacentral:lncRNA from 1 species
GGUGAGUUGGUUGAUUAUUUGUUGGUUGGUGAAUUUGUUGAUUGGUUUUUGCCUGGUGAUUGCCCUAUUUAACCUCCCCUUGCUGGCUGCUUGGAUUCCAAGUAUGUGUGAUUAUGAUGUUUUCCUGUGAUCUCUUUAGGAAUCACCUUUGGUUGCUGAAGCAUCCAAAGUGGAAGAACUCUCAGAGGAAACGGAAGUUAAAUCACCAUCUUCUUCUGUGGCUAAACCUAUAACAGUAAGAGGGCAGGAGGAAAAUUCCUGACUAUGACCUGGAUUUCUCCUACUCUCUUAGCCUCUGGAGUAGGGAUAACUCAAUUCAACUUUUCUGCUCUGACUUGUAUUUUGAAGGCCAAGGAAACAAGGCCCAUGCACGCAUGUGCGCGCGCACCUCCCCACCCCCCACACACACUCAGGUUCAUUGUUUUCCCAAUUCCCCAGCAGUUCACAUAUUUCUGUAGACCAAGUCCUUUCCAGUAUCCCCACAAUCUUUUUUCAGAGGCUAUCUUACCAUGAUCUCACCAAGCCCAUGGCAGGAUAGCCCUUCACAAGUUUCUUCCUAAGGAUUCCUCAACCUGCAGAGCUAAAGACUUCUGUCCGAUCUGGGAAUCUACUGCCUUUCUCAGCCAUUUGGACAGGACACAACUGGAGAAGCUGGCUAUUUUGCCAAGGCUUUGACUGGAAUGGUGUGCUUUCCUUUAAGGAAUCAAACUUGACUUAAGAAGUCAAUAAAAGCCCCUUAAAAAACUAGCCUCCUACCUUUGUCUACACAGCCCCUGUACAGGGCUCCUGACCUCUGAGUCGCUGAAAACUAUGCUGUGCCUUCAUAAAGCCCUGUGAGCUGAAGCAAGACAACUGAAACUUCAGAAUAUAACAGCAACCUAUUUACAUAAAUAAGCCACUUUCAUACCUGCCUACUAAUGUAUGGACUUCAGAGUAAUGGGGCCUAUAUCAAUUUUCCAGGAUUGUUCUUUUGUUUAUUGUGUUUUUCUUUCUUCCUCCCGCUAUUUUCUCUUCACUGGAUGUGAGACUUCACAACCUUUUUAAAAAUAAGAUUUCCUAAUAACUUGGGACCUACCUGUCUAGGAAUAAAGCAUCCUAGCCAUGAGAGAGCAGACAAAACCUGGGACCAGAGAUUUGUUUUCUUCUAAAAUGCUUUCUCCGAAAUAUUUUUAAAAAGAAAAGGGGAGAAAUGUGAAAGGAAAAUAUCUUGGUCCCCCAGAAUCACUAAGCUAAAGAGAAAAUUCAAGCUGGGAACUGUUAGGGCAAACCUGCCUCCCAUUCUAUUCAAAGUCAUCCCUCUUUUGAGAUAAAUGCAUAUCUGAUUGCCUCCUUUGGAAAGGCUAAUAAGAAACUCAAAAGAAUGCAACCAUUUGUCUCUUACCUACCUGUGACCUGGAAGCCCCUGUCUGCUUCAAGUUGUCCUGCUUUUGCUUCAAGUUGUUCUAGCUUUCUGGACAGAACCAAUGUUCAUUUUACCUAUGUUAAUUGAUGUCUCAUAUCUCCCUAAAAUGUAUAAAACCAAGCUGUGUUCUGACCACUUUGGGCACAUGUCAUCAGGACCUCCUGAGGCUGUGUCAUGGGUAUGCGUCCACAACCUUGG